UGCGGGGGUCUGAUCUGUCUUCUCUCCCUACCAAUUGCAAUGCUAUAUGGCUCUUGCUGCUGUUGCUCAGGUGCAUCCUCUACUUGAUCAGGAUCCUGCAUCUCAUCCUUUGGAUCACUGGACUGAACUAUCAAAGUAUCAAUGUCAAGCUUCACCUGUUCUCUGACACUGUGAUCUGAUUCUGCUAUUGACUUCUCCUUCUGACUAUCUAAUAAAGU
rnacentral:lncRNA from 1 species